rnacentral:lncRNA from 1 species
GGAUGAUGGCUUUCAGCUCCACCAACGUUCCUGCAAAGGACAAGAUCUCUUUCCUUUUUAUGGCUGCAUAGUAUUCCAUGGUGUAUUUGUACCACGUUUUCUUUAUCCAGCCUAUCAUUGAUGGGCAUUUGGUUUGAUUCUUUGCGAUUGUGAAUAAUGAGUAGCAUCUAUUUUAAUUUUGAAAAUUAAAACAGUUUUAUAAGUAAAGGAGACUAUACAGACACAUAAAAAGAAUAAUGUUUUGACAUGUUUUGGAGAGAAUUAGUUUUAAUGAAAAUGAGAAUGUGAGAAACCCCAGGAAUUGAUUUCACCUUGCAACUGAAGAGACUAUGUUAUCAUAAUAAGGAAGAUUGUGUUGUCACAGCAUUUUGUUGAGAUCACUACUGGAUUUUCUGAAGCACUUUGAGAUAGAAGAAUGUCUCCCCAGGGGUAUCUGCAGAGUCUAAACUUAUCAAAAGACUGACAGAUGAAAUAUCCAGGGAGCUUGUACAAAUCAAUGAGCAGAAGAUGAACCCCUCAGCAUAUAUGUGUGAGAAUGCUUACUGCAGUGUUGUAUCUUGGAGAUGUGUGCUUCAAUGCAACCUGGGUACCCACCAAUGGGAGAGUGGAGUGGUUAAAAAGUGUUAUUGGAAAACUGUCCAGCAUUGUGCCAUACUUAGGAACAAAAGAGUGGAUUUAAAAAUAGAAACAGAGUGCAUGUGUAAAAGACUAACAUGGACUGCAAGUGAUGUGUAAAGAUUAUCAUCAAGAAGUGCAGUGUAAUUUUCUAUCCUUGUGAUGUAAGCUUGCCUCAAGGUGUGCUUUGGCCAAUGGAAUAUGGCAGAAGAGUCAUUGGACCACUUCUGGGCGUAGGCUUCAAGAACCCUUGCCACUUCAGUUUGUUCCCUGUUAGAAUGUCUAAACCCUGAGGAGGUGGGGGAAGAGGCGGGGGAAACCCUGUAUUUACGCUCUAGAGGUUGAGAAGCCACAUGGAGAGAGAGACCUGGCCAGCAUCAACUUCACAACAGAGCUACCGGAUGACUACAACCAUAUGAGUGACCCAAGCUAAUCCAGGUAGAAGAACCAGUAUGCCAAGCACAGCUCAAAGUGUAACUCCAGAUUCAGAGCAAAUAAAAUGGCUAUCACAGCCACUAUGUUUUUGGGUAUCGGAUAUGCAGCAAUAGAUGACUGAUCACACACACACACAAACACACACACACAAACUUGAAAUCCUUCUGUGCGUACACAUUGAGCAUUAUCAC